rnacentral:rRNA from 1 species
GACGAACGCUGGCGGCGUGCUUAACACAUGCAAGUCGAACGGAAAGGCCCUGCUUUUGUGGGGUGCUCGAGUGGCGAACGGGUGAGUAACACGUGAGUAACCUGCCCUUGACUUUGGGAUAACUUCAGGAAACUGGGGCUAAUACCGGAUAGGAGCUCCUGCUGCAUGGUGGGGGUUGGAAAGUUUCGGCGGUUGGGGAUGGACUCGCGGCUUAUCAGCUUGUUGGUGGGGUAGUGGCUUACCAAGGCGUUGACGGGUAGCCGGCCUGAGAGGGUGACCGGCCACAUUGGGACUGAGAUACGGCCCAGACUCCUACGGGAGGAAGCAGUGGGGAAUAUUGCACAAUGGGCGGAAGCCUGAUGCAGCAACGCCGCGUGCGGGAUGACGGCCUUCGGGUUGUAAACCGCUUUCGCCUGUGACGAAGCGUGAGUGACGGUAAUGGGUAAAGAAGCACCGGCUAACUACGUG